CCUACGGUGUGCAGCAGUGAGGAAUAUUGGUCAAUGGGCGGAAGCCUGAACCAGCCAAGUAGCGUGCAGGAUGACGGCCCUACGGGUUGUAAACUGCUUUUAUACGGGAAUAACGCGCCUUACGUGUAGGGCUUUGCAUGUACCGUAUGAAUAAGGCCCGGCGAAUUCCGUGCCAGCAUCGGCGGUAAUACGGGAGGAUCGGGCGUUAUCCGGAUUUAUUGGGUUUAAGGGGAGCGUAGGCCGCAUGUCAAGCGUGCUGGUAAAUGUCCGGGCUCAACCCGGGCCUUGCAGCGCGAACUGGCGUGCUUGAGUCCGCGGAAAGCAGGCGGAAUUCGUCGUGUAGCGGUGAAAUGCUUAGAUAUGACGAAGAACCCCGAUUGCGAAGGCAGCUUGCUGCAGCGGAACUGACGCUGAUGCUCGAAAGCGCGGGUAUCGAACAGGAUUAGAGACCCCAGUAGUC
rnacentral:rRNA from 1 species